rnacentral:rRNA from 1 species
GGAUUAGAUACCCUGGUAGUCCACGCCGUAAACGAUGUCUACUAGUCGUUGGGUCCCUUGAGGACUUAGUGACGCAGCUAACGCAAUAAGUAGACCGCCUGGGGAGUACGGCCGCAAGGUUAAAACUCAAAUGAAUUGACGGGGGCCCGCACAAGCGGUGGAGCAUGUGGUUUAAUUCGAUGCAACGCGAAGAACCUUACCUGGGUUUGACAUGGGCAGAAAUCCGGCAGAGAUGUCGGGUCCUUCGGGGCCGUUCACAGGUGGUGCAUGGCUGUCGUCAGCUCGUGUCGUGAGAUGUUGGGUUAAGUCCCGCAACGAGCGCAACCCUUGUCCAAUGUUGCCAGCGCGUUAUGGCGGGGACUCAUUGGAGACUGCCGGGGUCAACUCGGAGGAA